rnacentral:rRNA from 1 species
GACAGAGGGUGCAAACGUUGUUCGGAAUUACUGGGCGUAAAGCGUGUGUAGGCGGCUACAUAAGUCGGAUGUGAAAGCCCCGGGCUCAACCCGGGAAGUGCACUCGAUACUGCGUAGCUUGAGUCUCGGAGAGGUUGGUGGAAUUCUCGGUGUAGAGGUGAAAUUCGUAGAUAUCGAGAGGAACACCGGUGGCGAAGGCGGGUCUCUGGGCAGUAACUGACGCUGAGGAGCGAAAGCGUGGGGAGCGAACAGG